rnacentral:lncRNA from 1 species
UUCUCUGGCAGGCAUAUUCUGUAGCCUCCAGGCUGUCCUGUUCUCUGUGGAAGGAGCAGUUUAUCUGACUACAGAGAAUUCUGGAGGGGAUGGGAGGCAAGAGUGAGAGGCUGUUAAUGUUGUCCCCAGGACUUGAGACCUCUUUAAAAUCUAUACCUGAGAAAAACAAGAUGGCACCCUGUGAAGGGAUGAAAGAAGGGGAAUUGAAAACGGACUGUUCGCAAGGCUGAUGGAAGACCUUGUGUCUUCAAUAGCACAAGAGGGUGGGCCUAGAAGAGCUCCAGGACCCAUACGAGAC